rnacentral:rRNA from 1 species
CCCUUAGAUGUCCUGGGCCGCACGCGCGUUACACUGAUGCAUUCAACGAGCUUAUAACCUUGGCCGAGAGGCCUGGGCAAUCUUGUUAACGUGCAUCGUGAUAGGGAUAGAUUAUUGAAAUUAUUAAUCUUGAACGAGGAAUUCCUAGUAAACGCAGAUCAUCAAUCUGCAUUGAUUACGUCCCUGCCCUUUGUACACACCGCCCGUCGCUCCUACCGAUUGAAUGAUCCGAUGAAUAUCAUGGAUUGAGGAUGCAAGCAGGUUCGCCUGUCUUCAUCUUCGAGAAGUGAAGUAAAUCUUAUCAUUUAGAGGAAGGAGAAGUCGUAACA